rnacentral:rRNA from 1 species
CCAGACUCCUACGGGAGGCAGCAGUGAGGAAUAUUGGUCAAUGGGCUUACGCCUGAACCAGCCAAGUCGCGUGAGGGAAGACUGCCCUAUGGGUUGUAAACCUCUUUUGUCAGGGAGCAACGCCGGCUACGUGUAGCCGGACUGAGAGUACCUGAAGAAAAAGCAUCGGCUAACUCCGUGCCAGCAGCCGCGGUAAUACGUAGGUGGCAAGCGUUAUCCGGAUUUAUUGGGUGUAAAGGGCGUGUAGGCGGGAAUGCAAGUCAGAUGUGAAAUUCCAGGGCUCAACCCUGGAACUGCGUUUGAAACUGUUCUUCUUGAGUGAUGGAGAGGCAGGCGGAAUUCCGUGUGUAGCGGUGAAAUGCGUAGAUAUACGGAGGAACACCAGUGGCGAAGGCGGCCUGCUGGACAUUAACUGACGCUGAGGCGCGAAAGCGUGGGGAGCAAACAGGAUUAGAUACCCCAGUA